rnacentral:pre_miRNA from 1 species
AAUAGAUAACGCCGUUGACUUUUUCUCACAUGUUUGACCAUUCGUCUUAUUCAAAAAAUUUACGUAAUUAUAAUUUAUUUUGUUAUGAGUUGUUUUAUCACUCAUAGUACUUUAAGUGUGAUUAAUAUCUUAUACAUUUGCAUAAAAUUUUUGAAUAAGACGAAUAGUCAAACAUGUGAGAAAAAAUCAACAGCGUCAUCUAUU